ensembl:snoRNA
CUCAGGGCUCCCGGGAGCCAGGAGAGAUGCUGCCCCGGAAGCUAA